GAAAAGAAACCAACAGGGAUUGCCCUAGUAACGGCGAGUGAAGCGGCAACAGCUCAAAUUUGAAAUCUGGCUUCGGCCCGAGUUGUAAUUUGCAGAGGAUGUUUCUGGCGCGGUGCCUUCCGAGUUCCCUGGAACGGGACGCCACAGAGGGUGAGAGCCCCGUAUGGUUGGACACUAAGCCUGUGUGAAACUCCUUCGACGAGUCGAGUAGUUUGGGAAUGCUGCUCUAAAUGGGAGGUAAAUCUCUUCUAAAGCUAAAUACCGGCCAGAGACCGAUAGCGCACAAGUAGAGUGAUCGAAAGAUGAAAAGCACCUUGAAAAGGGGGUUAAACAGUACGUGAAAUUGUUGAAAGGGAAGCGCUUGUGACCAGACUUGCGCCGGGCGGUUCAUCCGGGGUUCUCCCCGGUGCACUCCGCCCGGUUCAGGCCAGCAUCGGUUUUCGUUGGGGGAUAAGAACGGCAGGAACGUGGCCCUCCUUCGGGUGGGUGUUAUAGCCUGCCGUACGAUACCCUGGUGGGGACCGAGGUCCGCGCUCCGCAAGGAUGCUGG
rnacentral:rRNA from 1 species